CCGGCACGGGUGAGUAACGCGUAUCCAACCUGCCGUCUACUCUUGGACAGCCUUCUGAAGGAAGAUUAAUACAAGAUGGCAUCAUGAGUUCACAUGUUCACAUGAUUAAAGGUAUUCCGGUAGACGAUGGGGAUGCGUUCCAUUAGAUAGUAGGCGGGGUAACGGCCCACCUAGUCUUCGAUGGAUAGGGGUUCUGAGAGGAAGGUCCCCCACAUUGGAACUGAGACACGGUCCAA
rnacentral:rRNA from 1 species